AGAAUCCCAAACCUGGAGGGAGGAGACCAACCGGCUGCAAAUUCUUCUCCAGGAGGAGUCCCCAGAGGCUGAAGAACAAUGUCAUGGUGGUGUUGGUGUGGCAACUGGACAGUUGUGAAUCAAACUGAGAAACUGAGACCAGGAAGAUCCUGAGCCACGCAACAUUGGAGGUGUCUCCGGCCAUUUGCAAUGGGUACAAAGUCAAAGAAGUCACAUGUGGAGGAUGAAGCAGAAAAUCCACUUAGAACCAGGCGGCCUGGGAGACACGGGUUUACGAGGACUGCUGGAUUUCGAAUAAUUCACCUGUCAGCUUUGUGGAUUCUUGCCCCAGAUUUGCUCCUUUGCUUCUCUGGCUCAGUGGUUCCUACUCUGUCAACAAGUGCCUUCAAAGAUCUGUCUCCCAGAUGCCUCUAAGAUUGAAGAUUUUCAUCACAUUUAGAGCCACUUCUCUACUACCUCUCACUUCUCAUUCACAUGCCUACCGAACCUACAUCGUCCCCUCCCUCGAACCUGUGGACCGUCGACUGGAAGUCGGGGAAAAUGGGUUAGCUUUCUCUUGGGUGGCAAAUUAUUUUUUAAUUAAUGCUGCUGCCGU